AUGGAGUUUACAGCAUUUAAAAAUGGUUUAAUGCAUGUGCAUUAAGUGUAGUCCCAGAUAUUCCUAAACUUGAUUUGUUUGCUAAGAAGAUUCUUAAAACAAAAAAUACCAUAAAAGUGGAAAGUGUUUUCCCUUAUCAUCCUGUGCAGAAUACUUGCUAAUCUUUUACUACACUUUACACACAUGCAUUAAACCUAUGAAUUAGUAAUUUUAUGUUGUAAUAUUUCAUCCAAUGAUGGUUUGUGUGAUGACAUGUAAUUGUUCAUUCAGUGAAGAUUUGUGUGAUAUUUGAUGUACAUAUAGUACAGCUUUUUUCUGCCCGCCAGUAGGGUGGCAUAUAGCAGUCGAACUGUCCGCCUCUUUCUGUCAGUCUGUCAGUCUGUGCGUCCGUCCAAAACGUUAACAUUGUCCAUAACUUUUGCAAUAUUGAAGAUAGCAACUUUAUAUUUGGCCUGCAUGUGUAUCUCAUGGAGCUGCAAUUUUUGAGUGGUGAAAGGUCAAGGGUCAUCCUUCAAGGUCACAGGUCAAAUAUAUGGCUUCAAAGCGACGCAGUAUAGGGGGCAUUGUGUUUCUGACAAACACAUCUCUUGUUGUCCAUGUAAUAAUAUUACAAAGGAUAUGUCGUUAUUGAAGUUUUUAAAAAGGAUUUUCAGAGCUUUUGUGCUUGCUUUGGUCAGCAAACAAAUUAGUCAGUGCUAUUUUUGUAGUGACUAAAAAAUACUUGUAAUUCUAUAUUUUCUUCAUCUUUAAGUUCAGAAAUGCCAAGACUCUUUGUUCAGUUAUUCCCUUGGAAGUCUAUAAAUAACAGAUCAUCUCUUUUCUGAAAUUCAUCAAAAUUCUCGUCAUAAAAUGACAGUUUAUCAUGCACAACAAAUAUAAAAUAAUGCUUCUGAAAGCAUAAUAAGAUUUUAAUUUUUUUUCUCUUGUCAGUUGGGAGUUAUUCAAUUUGAUCAAAUAAUGAUAUCAGUCGAACUGGUUUUUGAAAAAAUUAGUUCUUUAUUGAUGUAGCUUAAUGAGUGUGGUAUAAUUACAGUUAAUAUUAAUAUAAGACCGAAAAUAUCUGUGUCUGUUUACUGUAACAUGAUGAAAAUCACAUGGAUCAGUAGGUAGUUUUUUUGCUCACCUGGGCACAUGGUGCUCACGGUGAGUUUUUAAGAUACUGUGCCGAUUGUCAUCUGUCAGUCCAUGAGUGUGUGCAUUAAGUUUUCUUCUUAUGACUUGAUUGGCAGAUUUUUAUGAAACUACAGAAAAUAUCAUACGGUGACUCUUUAAAAUUUGUUGAAAUUGUUGAUUUCCGAUUCAUUUGAAGGUCACUGGGACUGAAAAUAUAUUUUAAAUUGAAAAUUUGAAAAAUCUUGUCUAUAACCACAAGGGUCAUUUGUUAGUAUUUGGUGUGUAAGAUUGUCUAGUGGUCCUCUACCAAGUUUGUUCAAUCAUGGCCAUGGGGUCAAAACUGGGCGGACUGUCUUUAUUCUUUAUUAAUUUAUGUUUGGUAGCCAAUUUGUAUACCUUGGUAAAUUUAUUCUGCCAUGAUUUCAUGUCUUGAAGAAGCAGUUGCACUUGUGAUCACUGGGAUUUUAUUUCAUUUUGGCUGUAAAUGUUUGUCACUUUUCAAUGCAAUGAAAGCAGCUUGUGACAGGUUUGACACAAGUACAUAUCCUUUAAGAAAGUCAGACCCACAUGAACAUCAUGAACAUCAUGAACAUGUUUAUAAUGCACUUAUUUUAUUCAGUAUAUUUUUGCAUAAUUAAAAGUUGGUGACAAUAUGCCUUGUGCAUCCAAAAGAUUGAAUCCUGCAUUUAUGAAACACAACAUUCCUUAUCUUGUGAUCAUUUUUAUACGCCCGUCUAUGACGGGACGUAUUAUGGUAUACCCCGCGUCCGUCUGUCCGUCCGUCCGUCUGUCCGUCCGUAUGUCUGUUAAUGUCGUACGCUACGUCAAAUAUCCUUCGAUGGAUUUUUUUCAAAUUUCAACACAAUCUUAAUAUUGAUAAACCCUGAUCCCCUUUCGUUUUUGACGGAAUUCUGAAUUGUCGUUCCAGAGUUAUGGGACUUUGUUCGUCAAAAUUUCGUUAUUUCAUUGAAUGUCCUACUGUAGCUAUAUAAAAAUGUUAAAGUUGUUAUAACUUUGGUAUGCUUGGACCUAGAGUCUUGAAACUUGACAUGAAGGUUGGCCAGAACUAGUAAGUAACCCCUGGACAUUUCAAGGUCAUUCAUUUGAAGGUCAAGGUCACUGUGACCUUGAAUGUAAAAAUGUUAAAGUUCUUAUUUCAUGUUAUAACUUUGGUAUGCUUGUACCUAGAGUCUUCAAACUUGAAAUAAAGAUUGGCCAGUACUAGAAGAUGACCACUGGUCAUUUCAAUGUCAUUCAUUUGAAGGUCAAGGUCACUGUGACCUUAAAUGUUAAAAUGUUAAAAUUGUUAUAACUUUGGUAUGCUUGGACAUAGAGUCUUAAAACUUGACAUGAAGGUUUGCAAGCACACUUAGAUGACCACUGGUCAUUUCAAGGUCAUUCAUUCUAAGGUCAAGGUCACUGUGACCUUAAAUGUUAUUGUUGUUCAUGUAUCCUACCGUAGCUCAAAUAUCCCCCGAUGGAUUUUUUAUACGCCCGUCUAUGACGGGACGUAUUAUGGUAUACCCCACGUCCGUCUCUCCGUCCGUCCGUCCGUCCGUCUGUUAAUGUCGUACGCUACGUCAAAUAUCCUUUGACAGAUUUUCUUCAAAUUUUAACACAAUCUUAAUAUUGAUAAACCCUGAUCCCCUUUCGUUUUUGACGGAAUUCUGAAUUGUCGUUCCAGAGUUAUGGGACUUUGUUCGUCAAAAUUUCGUGAUUUCAUUGAAUGUCCUACUGUAG